rnacentral:rRNA from 1 species
AUUGAACGCUGGCGGCAGGCCUAACACAUGCAAGUCGAGCGAGCGGCGGACGGGUGAGUAAUGUCUGGGAAACUGCCUGCUGGAGGGGGAUAACUACUGGAAACGGUAGCUAAUAACGCAUACUACUAGAUGUGCACAGAUGGGAUUAGCUAGUAGGGGGGGUAACGGCUCACCUGGGCGACGAUCCCUAGCUGGUUUGAAAGGAUGACCAGCCCACCUGGAACUGAGACCCGGUCCAAGCUCCUACGGGGGGCAGAGGUGGGGAAUAUUGGACAAGGGGGGCAAGCCUGAUGCAGCCAUGCCCGGUGUGGGAAGAAGGCCUUCGGGUUUUAAAGCACUUUCAGCGGGGAGGCGUUACCCGCAGAAGAAGCACCGGCUAACUCCGUGCCAGCAGCCGCGGUAAUUC